rnacentral:rRNA from 1 species
CAUAGGUUAAUGAGGCGAACCGGGGGAACUGAAACAUCUAAGUACCCCGAGGAAAAGAAAUCAACCGAGAUUCCCCCAGUAGCGGCGAGCGAACGGGGAGCAGCCCAGAGCCUGAAUCAGUGUGUGUGUUAGUGGAAGCGUCUGGAAAGGCGCGCGAUACAGGGUGACAGCCCCGUACACAAAAAUGCACAUGCUGUGAGCUCGAUGAGUAGGGCGGGACACGUGGUAUCCUGUCUGAAUAUGGGGGGACCAUCCUCCAAGGCUAAAUACUCCUGACUGACCGAUAGUGAACCAGUACCGUGAGGGAAAGGCGAAAAGAACCCCGGCGAGGGGAGUGAAAAAGAACCUGAAACCGUGUACGUACAAGCAGUGGGAGCACAGAGCAAUCUGUGUGACUGCGUACCUUUUGUAUAAUGGGUCAGCGACUUAUAUUCUGUAGCAAGGUUAACCGAAUAGGGGAGCCGAAGGGAAACCGAGUCUUAACUGGGCGUUAAGUUGCAGGGUAUAGACCCGAAACCCGGUGAUCUAGCCAUGGGCAGGUUGAAGGUUGGGUAACACUAACUGGAGGACCGAACCGACUAAUGUUGAAAAAUUAGCGGAUGACUUGUGGCUGGGGGUGAAAGGCCAAUCAAACCGGGAGAUAGCUGGUUCUCCCCGAAAGCUAUUUAGGUAGCGCCUCGUGAAUUCAUCUCCGGGGGUAGAGCACUGUUUCGGCAAGGGGGUCAUCCCGACUUACCAACCCGAUGCAAACUGCGAAUACCGGAGAAUGUUAUCACGGGAGACACACGGCGGGUGCUAACGUCCGUCGUGAAGAGGGAAACAACCCAGACCGCCAGCUAAGGUCCCAAAGUCAUGGUUAAGUGGGAAACGAUGUGGGAAGGCCCAGACAGCCAGGAUGUUGGCUUAGAAGCAGCCAUCAUUUAAAGAAAGCGUAAUAGCUCACUGGUCGAGUCGGCCUGCGCGGAAGAUGUAACGGGGCUAAACCAUGCACCGAAGCUGCGGCAGCGACGCUUAUGCGUUGUUGGGUAGGGGAGCGUUCUGUAAGCCUGUGAAG